GCAUCGGUGGUUUAGUGGUAGAAUGCUCGCCUGCCACGCGGGCGGCCAGGGUUCGAUUCCCGGCCGAUGCA
rnacentral:tRNA from 1 species